rnacentral:rRNA from 1 species
CCUACGGGAGGCAGCAGUGAGGAAUAUUGGUCAAUGGGCGCUAGCCUGAACCAGCCAAGUAGCGUGAAGGAUGACUGCCCUAUGGGUUGUAAACUUCUGUUAUAGGGGAAUAAAGUGCAGUAGGUAUACGGCUUUGCAUGUACCUUAUGAAUAAGGAUAGGCUAACUCCGUGCCAGCAGACGCGGUAAUACGGAGGAUCCGAGCGUUAUCCGGAUUUAUUGGGUUUAAAGGGAGCGUAGGCGGGUUGUUAAGGCAGUUGUGAAAGUUUGCGGCUCAACCGUAAAAUUGCAGUUGAUACUGGCAUCCUUGAGUACAGUAUCGGUAGGCGGUCUUCGUGGUGUAGCGGUUACAUGCUUAGAUAUCCC